AAGGAUCAUUAUUGAAAUAAACCUGAUAAGUUGCUGCUGGUUCUCUAGGGASCAAUGUGCACACUUGUCAUCUUUGUAUCUUCACCUGUGCACCUUUUGUAGACCUGACUAUCUCUCUGAAUGCUUUAUAGCAUUCAGGAUUGAGAAUUGACUUCUUGUCUCUUCUUAUAUUUUCAGGUCUAUGUUUUCUCAUAUACCCCAAUGUAUGUUUAUAGAAUGUAAUUAAUGGGCCUUUGUGCCUAUAAACCUUUACAACUUUCAGCAACGGAUCUCUUGGCUCUCGCAUCGAUGAAGAACGCAGCGAAAUGCGAUAAGUAAUGUGAAUUGCAGAAUUCAGUGAAUCAUCGAAUCUUUGAACGCACCUUGCGCUCCUUGGUAUUCCGAGGAGCAUGCCUGUUUGAGUGUCAUUAAUAUUAUCAACCUUUUUGGUUGGAUGUGGGUUUGCUGGCCUCUUGAGGUCAGCUCUCCUUAAAUUCAUUAGCGGACAACAUUUUGCCAACUGCUCAUUGGUGUGAUAAUUAUCUACGCUAUUGACGUGAAGCAAGGUUCAGCUUCUAAUAGUCCAUUGACUUGGACAAGCCUUCUUUUAUUAAUUUGACCUCAAAUCAGGUAGGACUACCCGCUGAACUUAAGCAUAUCAAUAAGCGGAGGAAAAGAAACUAACAAGGAUUCCCCUAGUAACUGCGAGUGAAGCGGGAAAAGCUCAAAUUUAAAA
rnacentral:rRNA from 1 species